AGAGUUUGAUCCUGGCUCAGGGCUAACGCUGGCAGCGUGCCUUAGCCAUGCAAGUCGAGCGGGGGGAUCCCUUUUGGGGUUCCCUAGCGGCGGACGGCGGAGUAAUACACGGCUAACCUGCCCUGGGGAGGGGGACAACCUGGGGAAACCUGGGCUAAUCCCCCAUACGCUCUCUGGGGGGCAUCCUCUGGGGAGGAAAGGGCGGUAAGGGGAAACUCUUACCGUUCGCCCUGGGAGGGGGCCGUGGCCCAUCAGGUAGUUGGUGGGGUAAAGGCCCACCAAGCCUGAGACGGGUAGCCGGCGUGAGAGCGCGGCCGGCCCGAGGGGCACUGAGACACGGGCCCCACUCCUACGGGAGGCAGCAGGCUGGAAAUGUGGGCAAUGGGGGAAACCCUGACCCCGCGACGCUGCGUGCGGGAAGAAGCCCUUCGGGGUGUAAACCGCUUUUGUGGGGGACGAAGGGGUGACGGUACCCCACGAAUAAGCCACGGCUAACCUCGUGCCAGCAGCCGCGGUAAGGCGGGGGUGGCGAGCGUUGCCCGGAAUUACUGGGCUUAAAGGGGGCGUAGGCGGCUGGGUGUGUUGGGUGUGUAAUCCGGCGGCUCAACCGCUGGGCUGCACCCGAUACUACCUGGCUAGGGGGCGCCAGGGGAAGGCGGAACUCCUGGUGUAGCGGUGAAAUGCGUAGAUAUCUGGGUAACACCGGAUGCGAAGGCGUCCUUCUGGGGCGUACCCGACGCUGAGUCCGAAAGACGGGGGGAGCAAAGGGGAUUAGAAUACCCCCGUAGUCCCGGCCAGUUAAACGAAUG
rnacentral:rRNA from 1 species